AUUGUAUGUUUAGUUUUGUAGAGAAACAAUUUAUUCGUAUCCCCAAAAUACCCACAACAUACUGUAUCAUUGCAGUGUAUAAUAAUGUACUAUUAAGUCAUUUAUACUGAAUUAAGAAAAUUGCAUUCCCUUCGCUUGAUAGUUUACUUAUGAUUACCUCUGCAGUAGUAAUAAUUAUGAACACAACAAGAUAAUUUUAAUUAUUUUCACAGCAUUCACAGUAACCGAUGAUCACUAUCCCCCUAUUACGAGCCCCUCCUUCAGUUGUCUUGGUAGAAAGCUUCACUAAUGUCCAAUAUUUAUGCAUAUUUUUUCUACAACUAUUCUGUACCUUUAUAACUACAAUUUUCAUUAUUUUUACAGAUUUCACAGUCACCUAUCAUCGCCGCUCCCCUACGACCCUCUCUUUUAGUUGUCUUGCCACAAUUUCGGAUUUAACCGUCACCGAUAAUUUUCGCCACUCUACGAGCAUCCCUUUAACUUGUCCUGUCACAGUUUUUGAUUUCACAGUCAGAGAUAAUUUUCGCCACUCUACUAGCAUCCCUUUAAUUUGUCCUAACACAGUUUUUGGUAAAUGUUGCUGAAUAGUUUCAGUAAUAUUCAAUUUUUAUGCAUACUUGGGACUUUUUACAAGGUGUACCAUUCCUAGCAAAACCUAUUAUACGGGAGAGGGAUUUUAGUUGGUAGGUCCUCCUGUGAGGGAAUCCAACACUACCCAGUCGUACGGACGGCUGGGU
rnacentral:misc_RNA from 1 species